UACGUAGGGUGCAAGCGUUGUCCGGAAUUAUUGGGCGUAAAGAGCUCGUAGGCGGUCUGUCGCGUCGGCUGUGAAAACCCGGGGCUCAACCCCGGGCCUGCAGUCGAUACGGGCAGACUAGAGUGCGGUAGGGGAGACUGGAAUUCCUGGUGUAGCGGUGGAAUGCGCAGAUAUCAGGAGGAACGCCGGUGGCGAAGGCGGGUCUCUGGGCCGUAACUGACGCUGAGGAGCGAAAGCGUGGGGAGCGAACAGG
rnacentral:rRNA from 1 species